ensembl:lncRNA LINC02532 long intergenic non-protein coding RNA 2532
GAGGAGUCACCGAGCAGCUAUUCAAUGGCAGAGACUGCCUGGCAGCUCUUUAGAAAGUUGUGUGACGUAUGAACCAGUUCUUCCCUAUAUGAGAGUGUACCGUACAUCGCAGGCUGUCCAGCAUCGACCCCACUGAUGGAUGCUAGUAGUCCUCCCCGCCAGCACUCAACAUUGUGACAGUCAAAAACAUCCUCUCUACAUUUUCAAUGCCCCUGUUGGGGUAGCAGGACUCCCACUGAGAGACCCCAGUAGAGAUGGUAAGUGGAGGCAGAGCAGCACCUCUCACACUUCCAUGUGCCCUUGAAUGCCCCCACGGAUCUUGCUAACAUGCAGAUUUAGGAUGUCUGGGGUGGAGCCUGAGAAUCUGCAUUUCUACCAGCUGUUCUUGGACCCAGGCUGGCGAGAUCAGAGGAAGAAGAAAUGACCUUGGGUUUAGGUAGCAAAGACUUCACAGAAAAGAAGGGAACAUAAACAAGGUUUUGAAGAAUACAUGGAGGUGGAGCUGAUGACAUCCCACGAGGUGCAGGCUGCUGGGAGGCAGGCACACUGGACCAGCGGAGAGGGAUCCGUACG